CUUGAUCGACCCGACCCACAGCGGACUGUCUGCCUCGCGUUCCCGGCCGUACGUGGCGAGGAUCGCCUGCGCCUC
rnacentral:antisense_RNA from 1 species